UACGUAGGUGGCAAGCGUUGUCCGGAAUUAUUGGGCGUAAAGCGCGCGCAGGCGGUCCUUUAAGUCUGAUGUGAAAGCCCACGGCUUAACCGUGGAGGGUCAUUGGAAACUGGGGGACUUGAGUGCAGAAGAGGAAAGUGGAAUUCCAAGUGUAGCGGUGAAAUGCGUAGAGAUUUGGAGGAACACCAGUGGCGAAGGCGACUUUCUGGUCUGUAACUGACGCUGAGGCGCGAAAGCGUGGGGAGCAAACAGG
rnacentral:rRNA from 1 species